GACGAACGCUGGCGGCGUGCUUAACACAUGCAAGUCGAGCGGUAAGGCCCUUCGGGGUACACGAGCGGCGAACGGGUGAGUAACACGUGGGUGACCUGCCUCUAGCUCUGGGAUAAGCCUGGGAAACUGGGUCUAAUACCGGAUAUGACUCCACGGCGCAUGUUGUGGGGUGGAAAGCCUUGUGUGGCUAGAGAUGGGCCCGCGGCCUAUCAGCUUGUUGGUGGGGUGAUGGCCUACCAAGGCGACGACGGGUAGCCGGCCUGAGAGGGCGACCGGGCCACACUGGGACUGAGACACGGCCCAGACUCCUACGGGAGGCAGCAGUGGGGAAUCUUGCGCAAUGGGCGAAAGCCUGACGCAGCGACGCCGCGUGAGGGAUGACGGCCUGGUGUAAC
rnacentral:rRNA from 1 species